rnacentral:rRNA from 1 species
GACGAACGCUGGCGGCGUGCUUAACACAUGCAAGUCGAACGGAAAGGCCUGCUUUCCCUUGUGGGUUGCGGGUACUCGCGUGGCGAACGGGUGAGUAAAACGUGAGUGAUCUGCCCCCAACUUGGGUAUAAGCCUGGGAAACUGGGUCUAAUUCCCGAUAGGACUGCAGGGUGGUGCCUGUGGUGGAAAACGAUUUUCUAGUGGUUGGGGAUGAGCUCGCGGCCUAUCAGCUUGUUGGUGGGGUAAUGGCCUACCAAGGCGGCGACGGGUAGCCGGCCUGGGAGGGUCGACGUCCCCAUUGGGACGGCGACACGGCCCCGACUCCUACGGGCGGCAGCAGUGGGGAGUAAUGCGCGGUGGGCGGAAGCCUGAUGCAGCGACGCCGCGUGGGGGAUGACGGCCUUCGGGUUGUAAACUCCUUUCGGCCGCGAGGAAGCCACCUGGUUGGAAGGGUGGUGACGGUAGUGGUAGAAGAAGCACCGGCUAACUACGUG